rnacentral:rRNA from 1 species
GAUGAACGCAGGCGGCGUGCUUAACACAUGCAAGUCGAACGGUGAAGCUCCAGCUUGCUGGAGUGGAUCAGUGGCGAACGGGUGAGUAACACGUGAGCAACCUGCCCCUGACUCUGGGAUAACAGCCGGAAACGGCUGCUAAUACCGGAUAUGCACCAUGAACGCAUGUUCUGUGGUGGGAAAGAUUUUUCGGUUGGGGAUGGGCUCGCGGCCUAUCAGCUUGUUGGUGAGGUAAUGGCUCACCAAGGCGUCGACGGGUAGCCGGCCUGAGAGGGUGACCGGCCACACUGGGACUGAGACACGGCCCAGACUCCUACGGGAGGCAGCAGUGGGGAAUAUUGCACAAUGGGCGAAAGCCUGAUGCAGCAACGCCGCGUGAGGGAUGACGGCCUUCGGGUUGUAAACCUCUUUUAGCAGGGAAGAAGCGAGAGUGACGGUACCUGCAGAAAAAGCGCCGGCUAACUACGUG